AUACGGGGCAGUUAUAGUCAUGUCUCUGUUCGAUAACAUGGCAUAGCUUCCCCGUAACC
rnacentral:pre_miRNA from 1 species